rnacentral:rRNA from 1 species
UACGUAGGGUGCGAGCGUUAAUCGGAAUUACUGGGCGUAAAGCGUGCGCAGGCGGCGCGUUAAGACAGGUGUGAAAGCCCCGAGCUUAACUUGGGAAUUGCGCUUGUGACUGGCGUGCUGGAGUGUGGCAGAGGGGGGUAGAAUUCCACGUGUAGCAGUGAAAUGCGUAGAGAUGUGGAGGAAUACCGAUGGCGAAGGCAGCCCCCUGGGAUGAUACUGACGCUCAUGCACGAAAGCGUGGGGAGCAAACAGG